rnacentral:lncRNA from 14 species
GGGGAGCUGAGGUGAUGUCGGUGUGUGUCUGUUCUCCCACCGGCCCUGGUCCCACCCGCUCCGCAGACGGUGCUGCCGGCUCGGCCCCAGGAGCUCCUCGGAGGAUGGGCUCCCCGGGAGCCUUGGCUGCCGGUGUCCUGAGCGCCGGGAUGCAGAAGGGCUGUUACAGGGCUGAGCAUCAGCACCUGUGUGACCUCUGCAUGACAGCAAAACUGGCUGAGGUUCUCCUGUAAGAAACGAAGCUCCCCCUGAAGUAAGUUACUUAUUAAAAUUAGACAAGUGAAAUGUGAAUAAUGAUGCUUAGACAUACAUUAAGGACAUCAACAGUUUACAUCUUUCGAUGCUUUAGAGCAAACUGUCAGGAGAUGAGGAAAAUGUGUGUGAUGUGCUGUCAGAGUUAAUGGAUAUUUUGUGGCUUUCCUCUGAAGCAGGUACAAGGGACAGGACUAAACAGGUACUUCUGCUGACUGACAGGGCAGUUUUGAUGUAUGUGGUGCAUUGGAGUUUGUUAAUGAAAUCCUGGCAUACAACUCUGGAGCAUGAACUGUAUUUGAGGAAGUUUAGACCCUGGUUUGGGUUUAGUUACCUUUGAAAAGCUUUCCUAUUGAGGACAUGGUGUAGUUGCUUGGAAAUGGUUUUGUACUGCUGACAAAUAUGAAAGAUCUUGCACUUCGAAGAGCUGUAAUGAAAGAGCAGCAGCACAGUGAGCUAUGGGCACUAUGUAUUCAGUUUGGAUAGGCAAAACCCUGCCUGUGACACCUGAGCAUUUCAAAAGGGCUGCUCAAGCUAGUCAAUGGAAACUGGAGUUUUUAACUAGCUAUAAUCUAAAAGCAUUAGGAAAGGAUUCUUCCGGCUUUGUCAGGGAAGGAACAGUUAUACUUUCUGUCCCUCAGUGAAUUAAAAGACUUUCGGUUACAGAGAAAACUGCAAAUAUACUGUGCACCUGGUAACAAAAGAGGCUACAUUUCUGGAUUCUGUUAAAGUACAUCUACUAGUUGAUAACAUGUUGAUUUCCAGCUUAAAUUAUGCCAGUAAGUUGGAGAAGUGAACCAGUAACUGGUAUUAUUCUGUUCCUGAUACGCAGUGCAAGUAUCCCCUAUACCUAUGUAGCAGUAAACUCUACAGUAUAAGCAGUAGCUAUGCUCAGAAAAACAAAUGUACUGAUGAAGAAAGAAACCACCCCAUAGACCCAAAACACUUGAGCACAAAGUUUGUUUUUUCAAGUCUAAACAUACAGAAGACUUCUUAUGCCAGUCUUGCCUGUUUUCAUAAGGCAUUUGGAUGGGUUUGUGCUUCUGAAGGUUUUGGGGGGGCUGGGGAAGCAACAGAAGGUUCUGCAAGCUGCCUGCCUUUUUAGUCAGUGCAUCUGAAAAAGCAGGAGUGGGCAUCUUCCAACUUGCUCAAGAAACAGUAAACGAGUAAACUCUGGUUCUGUCAUUACAUUCUGGUGCCUUACAUUUGAGGAAUUGAAAUAAAUUUUAUGUAGAUGUGUUUAAAAUAAAAUGC